CAUUACACCACUUGAUUCA
rnacentral:siRNA from 1 species